rnacentral:rRNA from 1 species
UCAAGCUACAAAGGGCGCAAGGAGAAUGCCUUGGCACUGGGAGCCGAUGAAAGACGUGAUAAGCUGCGAUAAGCCUUGGGGAGGAGCAAAUAUCCAUUGAUCCAGGGAUUUCUGAAUGAGGAAACUCACCGAAGCUCAUACUUCGGUACUGCACACUGAAUCCAUAGGUGUGUGGGGGGAACCGCCUGAACUGAAACAUCUAAGUAGGGCGAGGAAGAGACAUCAAACGAGAUUCCGUUAGUAGUGGCGAGCGAACGCGGAAGAGGGCAAACCGGAAGGAGAAAUCCUUCCGGGGUAUGGACCGCUUUAAGGACUUAAGUUGCUAGCUGAAUGGCAUGGGAAGGCCAUCCAAAGAGUGUGAGAGACACGUAAGCGAAAGUAACGAGAGCUGCGCGAGUUCCAGAGUACGGCCAGACACGUGAAACCUGGUCGGAAGAUGGGGGGACCACCCUCCAACCCUAAAUACUACCCAGUGACCGAUAGCGUAUAGUACUGUGAAGGAAAGGUGAAAAGGACCCCGGGAGGGGAGUGAAAGAGAACCUGAAACCUUGUGCCUACAAGCACAUAGAGCACAUCAACGUGUGAUAUGGUACUUUUUGUAGAACGGUCCGGCGAGCGAUUGUAUGUUGCGAGCUUAAGCGCUUAAGGCGUGGAGGCGUAGCGAGAGCGAGUCUGAAUAGGGCGUUCAGUAGCAUGCAAUGGGCCCGAAACCGGGUGACCUACCCAUGAUCAGGCUGAAGUGAAAGUAAAAUUUCAUGGAGGGCCGAACCGACCUCCGUUGAAAAGGCGGCGGAUGAAUUGUGGGUAGCGGAGAAAUUCCAAUCGAACUCGGAGAUAGCUGGUUCUCCCCGAAAUAGCUUUAGGGCUAGCCUCAUAUUAGAUACCCGGAGGUAAAGCACUGAAUGGCCUAGCGCCCGAGAGGGUAGCGAAGCCUAUCAAACUAAGAAUGCCGGAGUAUUGAUGUAUGGGAGUCAGACAGUGUGAGAUAAAUCUCAUUGUCAAAAGGGAAACAGCCCAGAUCUACAGCUAAGGUCCCAAAUUGUAUCUAAGUGGAAAACGAUGUGGAAAUACGCAGACAACCAGGAUGUUGGCUCAGAAGCAGCCACUCAUUUAAAGAGUGCGUAAUAGCUCACUGGUCGAGCGUCUCUGCGCGGAAAAUUUAACGGGGCUAAGAUACAAACCGAAGCUUAGGCUGCACGUAAGUGCGGGGUAGGGGAGCGUUGUGUAAGCGGAGAAACAGUAGCGUAAGCGGCUGUGGAGUUUACAGAAGUGAGAAUGCCGGAAUGAGUAGCGCGAAUGUGGUGAGAAUCCACAUGGCCGGAAACCUCAGGUUUUUGGAGGAAGGUUCGUCCGCUCCAAGUUAGGCGGGAGCUAAGGUAAGGCCGAAAGGCGUAGCCGAUGCACAGACGGUAGAGAUUCCGUCCCCACCGAAAAACUUAAGCACAGGGACACUUUCAGAAGGUCGGAGCCAGGUGUUGGUUCUGGUAGUGAUCGAGGGAAAUAUAGUACCGAAGUCCGGCUGGAAGAGAGGCGAGAAAAGCUGUGUGUAUGUUUAAGGUGCCCGUACCGCAAACCGACACAGGUAGGUAGGAAGAAGAUUCUAAGGCCAACGGGAGAAGGGUUGUUAAGGAACUCGGCAAGUUGACCCCGUAACUUCGGAAUAAGGGGUGCUCACGAGAGUGAGCCGCAGAGAAUAGGCCCAGGCAACUGUUUACCAAAAACACAGGUUUGUGCUAAAUCGAAAGAUGACGUAUACGAGCUGACGCCUGCCCGGUGCUGGAAGGUUAAAAGGAGAUGUGCAAGCAUUGAAUUGAAGCCCCAGUGAACGGCGGCCGUAACUAUAACGGUCCUAAGGUAGCGAAAUUCCUUGUCAGGUAAG